rnacentral:rRNA from 1 species
AACCCGCAAGGGAAGCAGGUCGCCGAAAGGUAUGGCUGGUGAUUGGGAGUG